AGCGAACGCUGGCGGCAGGCUUAACACAUGCAAGUCGAGCGGGCGUAGCAAUACGUCAGCGGCAGACGGGUGAGUAACGCGUGGGAACGUACCUUUUGGUUCGGAACAACACAGGGAAACUUGUGCUAAUACCGGAUAAGCCCUUACGGGGAAAGAUUUAUCGCCGAAAGAUCGGCCCGCGUCUGAUUAGCUAGUUGGUGUGGUAACGGCGCACCAAGGCGACGAUCAGUAGCUGGUCUGAGAGGAUGAUCAGCCACAUUGGGACUGAGACACGGCCCAAACUCCUACGGGAGGCAGCAGUGGGGAAUAUUGGACAAUGGGCGCAAGCCUGAUCCAGCCAUGCCGCGUGAGUGAUGAAGGCCCUAGGGUUGUAAAGCUCUUUUGUGCGGGAAGAUAA
rnacentral:rRNA from 1 species